AUUGAACGCUGGCGGCAGGCCUAACACAUGCAAGUCGAGCGGAGCGGCGGACGGGUGAGUAAUGCCUAGGAAUCUGCCUGGUAGGGGGGGUUAACGUCCGGAAACGGGAGCUACUACCGCAUCCUAUCAGAUGAGCCUCGGUCGGCUUAUCUAGUUGGUGGGGUAACGGCCUACCAAGGCGACGACCCGUACCGGGUCUGAGAGGUGGAUCAGUCACACGGGAACUGAGACACGGUCCAGACUCCUACGGGGGGAAGCAGUGGGGAACUUUGGACAAUGGGCGAAAGCCUGAGCCAGCCAGGCCGCGGGUGUGAAGAAGCUCUUCGGAUGGUAAAGCACUUUAAGUUGGGAGGCGGUACCAACAGAAUAAGCACCGGCUAACUUCGUGCCAGCAGCCGCGGUAAUUC
rnacentral:rRNA from 1 species